GUGAGUAAUGUAUCGGAACGUACCUUUCAGUGGGGGAUAACGUAGCGAAAGUUACGCUAAUACCGCAUAUUCUGUGAGCAGGAAAGCAGGGGAUCGCAAGACCUUGCGCUGAUUGAGCGGCCGAUAUCAGAUUAGCUAGUUGGUGGGGUAAAGGCCUACCAAGGCAACGAUCUGUAGUUGGUCUGAGAGGAUGAUCCGCCACACUGGAACUGAGACACGGUCCAGACUCCUACGGGAGGCAGCAGUGGGGAAUUUUGGACAAUGGGGGCAACCCUGAUCCAGCCAUGCCGCGUGAGUGAAGAAGGCCUUCGGGUUGUAAAGCUCUUUCGGCCGGGAAGAAAUCGCAUAGGUUAAUACCCUGUGUGGAUGACGGUACCGGAAUAAGAAGCACCGGCUA
rnacentral:rRNA from 1 species